ensembl:lncRNA
CGCAGAGAUUGAGCUGAAAUCUCGCGCACACUGACUGAGAGACGGCCAUUUUUAGCGCUCAUUGAUUUGCUGUUUGUGUUUUGCAGUUAAAAAGAUAGAAAGAAAGAAAGAUAGAGGGUAGAAAAGAAAGUGUCCGCGAUUACUUCGAGAACAAGUUUGUAAGCGGACAUUUUGGCGUCAGGAUCCGGCUGGAUUUGGGCCCCGAGCGCGAAUGAUGUUCAUCCGAAAGGCUUCAGAGAGUCGCUGUUGACAUCAGAGCCGCGGGGUUGAUGUGCGUUUAACAGCCGCCCGAAUGGAAAUGGUGCCCAGCGAGGAAAACCAGCUCGUACCCAAAGAGGGUAUGUUUUGGAGUUGCAGGCAGAGUAUUUUGGAGGAGAUGAAGAAGAGGUUCUCGCAGGUAGCUCUAGCAUGAAAACAGCACGGUGUUUGGUUUAUUUAUUAUUAAAGUUGAGUAGAUACACCCGUACUAACUGUAAGCUAAUGAAUGAGAAUUAAGGUUAAGGUGAGGCCUAACCCUAUAACCUGCCAAUUUUCGAGCGGAUUCGAAGGCGUACAUCCGGACUACUGUCAGCUUUUAUAGAUAUUUUUUUUCCUUGUUAUAAUUCAGCUUGUAAAAUGAUAAUCCAUAAGUUUCUUAGAGGAAUUUUGUGCUAACCGUUAACUGCAUGAGGCUUACGGCAGAGAUCAUUGUAGGAAAUCAUUUGGCUUGUUUGUUAAGCCACUGCUGAGUCAGCGGGAGCAUCUCAAAUGCUAUUGGCUGUCGCGGAAAUCAGUCAAACCCUUUUCAACUUGCCCCCCCCCCACCCCCCAAAAAAAUUUCAAAGUUUUGUGCAUCCAUAAACAUAAUGCAUAAAUACAAUGAGAUAUAUAUAAAAAUUUAGUUCUUUUCUGUUUUGAACAAACAGUUGUGUAAAGUUUUAGUGUGAAGUUUAUAUUUUUAACACUCAAGUUGUGGAUUUUGUUGUAAAUAAACAAAAAAAUAAUGGUACUGAAAAUUUGCCCCGCCCCAUCCGAUUAAUAGAAAAAAUAAUUGGACAACUUAUCGAUUAUGAAAAUAAUUGUUAGUUGCAGCCCAAAUAAAUAAUUUAUUUAUUAAAAAUAUACUUUUGUCACCUAAUCUUCAUUUAAAUCUUUCAGCAGUGUACUGGCAAUUUAAUUCAGAGCGUGCAACUCGACGCCGAAACUCCCGCUGCACUGCUGCAGCGUCCGGUGUAAAAUUUUAGCGGUACAGAGAUUACAAACUGGAGUUUUGUCGUCAUUCCACACAAGAGACAUUGUCUUUACACACAGCAUGAAUUCAAUGUGUGUUCCCGCCCUCUUUUGAUUGACAGGAUAUAAUUGGCCCUGAUCAUCGGAUGUUUUUAAAUUAUCAGUUGAUAGCGCGAAAAAUAGCCUUUAUUGUCCGAUACAUUAUAUAUCUAUAUAUUUAUUGUCUCUCUAAAUUUUAUAUAUAUAUAUAUAUA